GGGAAGGUGGCUCAGUGGUAGAGCACUUGCCUUGCAUGCAUGAGGCCUUGGGUUCGAUUCCUCACCACCACA
rnacentral:tRNA from 1 species